rnacentral:rRNA from 1 species
AGACCACCAGCUAAGGUCCCAAAAUAUAUGUUAAGUGGAAAAGGAUGUGGCGUUGCCCAGACAACUAGGAUGUUGGCUUAGAAGCAGCCAUCAUUUAAAGAGUGCGUAAUAGCUCACUAGUCGAGUGACACUGCGCCGAAAAUGUACCGGGGCUAAACAUAUUACCGAAGCUGUGGAUUGUCCUUUGGACAAUGGUAGGAGAGCGUUCUAAGGGCGUUGAAGCAUGAUCGUAAGGACAUGUGGAGCGCUUAGAAGUGAGAAUGCCGGUGUGAGUAGCGAAAGACGGGUGAGAAUCCCGUCCACCGAUUGACUAAGGUUUCCAGAGGAAGGCUCGUCCGCUCUGGGUUAGUCGGGUCCUAAGCUGAGGCCGACAGGCGUAGGCGAUGGAUAACAGGUUGAUAUUCCUGUACCACCUAUAAUCGUUUUAAUCGAUGGGGGGACGCAGUAGGAUAGGCGAAGCGUGCGAUUGGAUUGCACGUCUAAGCAGUAAGGCUGAGUAUUAGGCAAAUCCGGUACUCGUUAAGGCUGAGCUGUGAUGGGGAGAAGACAUUGUGUCUUCGAGUCGUUGAUUUCACACUGCCGAGAAAAGCCUCUAGAUAGAAAAUAGGUGCCCGUACCGCAAACCGACACAGGUAGUCAAGAUGAGAAUUCUAAGGUGAGCGAGCGAACUCUCGUUAAGGAACUCGGCAAAAUGACCCCGUAACUUCGGGAGAAG